rnacentral:tRNA from 1 species
GGUGGAAUAGCUCAGUGGGUAGAGCAACAGAAAGUACAGGUUCGAUUCCUGUUUCACUU